rnacentral:rRNA from 1 species
CAAUAGCGUAUAUUUAAGUUGCUGCAGUUAAAAAGCUCGUAGUUGGAUUUCGGGUGGGAAUGGCCGGUCCGCCGUUUCGGUGUGCACUUGCUACGCCCACCUUGCUGCCGGGGACGUGCUCUUGAGUUCACGCUCGGGACACGGAGUCGGCGAGGUUACUUUGAGUAAAUUAGAGUGUUCAAAGCAGGCCUACGCUCUGAAUACAUUAGCAUGGGAUAACACGAUAGGACUCUGGCCUAUCUUGUUGGUCUGCAGGACCGGAGUAAUGAUUAAGAGGGACAGUCGGGGGCACUCGUAUUUCAUUGUCAGAGGUGAAAUUCUUGGAUUUAUGAAAGACGAACUACUGCGAAAGCAUUUGCCAAGGAUGUUUUCAUUAA